CCCAGGACUCACGUCCUGGGCUAGAUUCUAUCGCCCCUCCGGGGCU
rfam:Acidobacteria bacterium RIFCSPLOWO2_12_FTLL_66_10 rifcsplowo2_12_scaffold_28324, whole genome shotgun sequence.